rnacentral:rRNA from 1 species
AACGCUGGCGGCGUGCUUAACACAUGCAAGUCGAACGGAAAGGCCAGUGCUUGCACUGGUACUCGAGUGGCGAACGGGUGAGUAACACGUGGGUGAUCUGCCCUGCACUUCGGGAUAAGCCUGGGAAACUGGGUCUAAUACCGGAUAGGACCACAUUUUGGAUGGUGUGGUGGAAAGUUUUUCGGUGUGGGAUGAGCUCGCGGCCUAUCAGCUUGUUGGUGGGGUAAUGGCCUACCAAGGCGUCGACGGGUAGCCGGCCUGAGAGGGUGUACGGCCACAUUGGGACUGAGAUACGGCCCAGACUCCUACGGGAGGCAGCAGUGGGGAAUAUUGCACAAUGGGCGCAAGCCUGAUGCAGCGACGCCGCGUGGGGGAUGACGGCCUUCGGGUUGUAAACUCCUUUCGCUAGGGACGAAGCGCAAGUGACGGUACCUGGAGAAGAAGCACCGGCUAACUACGUGCCAGCAGCCGCGGUAAUACGUAGGGUGCGAGCGUUGUCCGGAAUUACUGGGCGUAAAGAGCUCGUAGGUGGUUUGUCGCGUCGUUUGUGUAAGCCCGCAGC